UACGUAGGGUCCGAGCGUGUCCGGAAUUAUUGGGCGUAAAGGGCUCGUAGGCGGUUUGUCGCGUCGGGAGUGAAAACACCGGGCUUAACUCGGUGCUUGCUUUCGAUACGGGCAGACUGGAGGUAUGCAGGGGAGAACGGAAUUCCUGGUGUAGCGGUGAAAUGCGCAGAUAUCAGGAGGAACACCGGUGGCGAAGGCGGUUCUCUGGGCAUUACCUGACGCUGAGGAGCGAAAGUGUGGGGAGCGAACAGG
rnacentral:rRNA from 1 species